UGGACGGAGAGAAGUCAUUUGCUUCUUCGGAGAGAAUUUUGCCCGCAAUUUGGCUCCAUUUUACCGUUUCCUGAAAAAGGAACGGUAGUUAUGAAACGCAAGACAUGUCCUCACAAAGUAAAUGCAAAAACUGCAUUACAUGGUCUCAACUCUCCCAAGAAUGCUGAAGGUCGUCACAAGGUCGUCAGCCAGAAAGACCUAGGACCACUGAUUGACAGGGCAUGUGCCAAGUGCGGUCACGAUGG